rnacentral:rRNA from 1 species
GACGAACGCUGGCGGCGUGCCUAACACAUGCAAGUCGAACGGGAAUACACUUGUAGCAAUACGGGUGUGUUUUAGUGGCGAACGGGUGAGUAAUACAUGAGCAACCUGCCUUUCAGAGGGGGACAACAGCUGGAAACGGCUGCUAAUACCGCAUAAAGUAACGACCGGGCAUCCGGAUGUUACCAAAGGAGCAAUCCGCUGAAAGAUGGGCUCAUGUCUGAUUAGCUAGUUGGUGAGGUAACGGCUCACCAAGGCUGCGAUCAGUAGCCGGACUGAGAGGUCGAACGGCCACAUUGGGACUGAGAUACGGCCCAGACUCCUACGGGAGGCAGCAGUGGGGAAUAUUGGGCAAUGGGCGAAAGCCUGACCCAGCAACGCCGCGUGAAGGAAGAAGGCUUUCGGGUUGUAAACUUCUUUUAUGAGGGACGAAGAAGUGACGGUACCUCAUGAAUAAGCCACGGCUAACUACGUG